UCAUGACAAGCAUAACAACAGCAAUACCAUCAUCCUUAUAAGGUACUUACUUGUGCCUGGGACCAUUCUAAGAAUUUUAUAAUUAUUAAUUAACUGAAACCUUCACAAUAAGCCUAUGAGUAAGUGUGACAUCUCCUCUUUACAGUUGGGGAAACUGAGGCAUUAGGGAAUGAUCAAUGGCCCAAAGUCACAGAACCAAGCAGGGUAGUUGGAUCACUGUCACUGCCACCCUCCUCUGUUCAAUUCCCGGUCUGGCCACAGGUUUUGACCUUAUGAAUUACAUAAGCUGGUCCUGUGGCUUUCCCACUGCUUUCUCUAGGGUUUUUUCUUCAUGGUCUUAAUAACUAUCAGAGUGAUCUGUUUCCUCAAAACAUGGUGUCGGGUGGACCUGAGCCCCUUUGGGGGAAAGUACCUGGUCAGAAGGGGUGCUGCCUCCCUGCUCCCUCCACCGAGGUUCUGACUUUUUAUACAGUGGGUGUGGAGGGAGGGUGAGGCAUAGACCCCACACCUGACCUCACAGUCUGUUUAUGGUGAAGUCGGAGGGAAACUGAGGCAGAGGUUGGGAUGUGUCCAGAGUCACAGAGUGCGUUGGCCCCAGGCCAGGGCUGGGUCCCAGACCUCACCCUCCAGGGCAGGUUGCUCCCGGUAACACUCUCCCCACCCCCAAUGCUACUUGCUACAGGAGAGGACAGUCGCCAACCGCAGACAUGAAUCAUUUUUGAGAAGUCUCUUGAACGGAGACAGGAAGAGGCAGUUUGGGGACGGCCCACUCCGGAGGUCAGGGCCCCAUCCGGGGGUAGGAUUGCCCAAGCUUUGCCCAUCUCUCGCUGUGACCGCCCCCACUGCCAUGCCAGAUGUCUCCGGGAGACAGCCCUGCGGUCAGCGUCCAGGCCGGGGCAGGGCUGAUCUGCAGCCCUCCCCUCGGACAGGGAUUUCACACCCAGGAAAAUAAUUUCCUGGGACAGAUGCCGCGUAAAAAGGUGCAAACUCGGCGGGCCGGGCCCUCCCUGCAGGCCUGCAAUACGGGCCCCUCUGUGGAGAGCCGCCUUCAUCUUGCCAAGAGCUAAGCUUCCACCGCGCCUCCUCGCGUGCGGGCUGCGGUCCUCGAUGCCAGGGGCAGCCGGUUCCCUUCAGUCGGUGACUCCCGCGCUUGGUGGGGCUGCGAUGGGGGCCGGGGCAAGACCCCGAGGGCCUCUGGGCACUCCGUGAUGUCACCCAGACCUGGUGCCGUCGCUGACCUCCUGCAUUCAUUCAUUCAUCCAACAAGCUUUUACUGAUCUGACAGGGUCAGAUGGGGCUCCUGGUCCUGAAAAGACUUGGUAUGUAACUGCUUAGGGGUUCCACCUCUGCCACCCAUCCAUCUGUCCACCAUCGGUCUGUCUGUCCAUUUCACACUGGGCUCCCAGGUUGGCCAGGCGCCGAUAUAAAGAGAGGGGGCAGCAAGGCCCACCCACGUCCUGCAAAGACUGUGUGGAGCACUAAUCCGGGAUGAAAGGGAGUGUAGACCGGGAGCUCUUCCCC
rnacentral:lncRNA from 12 species